rnacentral:snRNA from 1 species
UUACUUUGGUAGUACGUAUACCAAAAAUUGGAAUAAUACAGAGAUUAGUGUGGCCCCUACGCAAGAAUGACAUGCAAAUUUAUGAACUGUUACUUAUUUUU